CGGACAUCAGCUGAAGAAGGCUCCAGAGGGGGAAGGGAAGGAAAACACAUGUUUUCUGGUAUGCAAGAUCACAAACAUACAAAGAUCCUUAUCUUUCAGCCAGAAAUGAAAUAAAAGGGGAUCUUUUUAUCCCAUGGUUUCUCUUCUUUGUAGUGAAUCAUUGUGAGUUUUCCAGUGAUGCCGUCUGGCCACUCCCUAUUUUGAAAUGGGAGCUCUCAUGAUUAAGAAGUGAACAUGUGAAUCCAGAGCCAGCACUGAGAGAGGAAAAGUAAAUGAGAUGAUCCAUAAUCUACAUCUGUGAGAGAGAGGAAGGGGAAUGUUGAGGACAUUUUUGUCCACCUGAAAUAAAUGAGUUACAGUUCCAAGGAAGAUUCAACUAGAAGUUUGGAAAGAGAAAACAGGAGGAUCUUUGCACUUCCUAUCCACGUUGUGCAUUGAGGAAUCCUUCCUAAGGGACUGUGCCCUGGAUUCAAACUGGAGAUCGUUGCAGCUUUUCCAAAGAGAAUUAAUGAAGUGCUGUAACUCAGCUGCACAACCAAGACAUCAACUUGGCAAACAUUGCUAAAGCUCUGUGUAUCCUUGGUGACUGUCAUUCAAAGCUGGGGUAUGUUUUGUGAUACAUUUGCGAUUCAGCAAGGAAAAUUCUCCACCAAGACUGUGAAACAAUAGAAAUGACACUUAUUAGCAAUCUCUCCAUCGGAACAAAAUGAAGGAAAACAAAGGCUUAGCUGUCGUGGGGCCAUCAACUGUUUCAAGAAUAUGUGAUGAGCAGUUUUCUGCUGUUUCUCUCAUUGAUGAUUAAAUGAAAAUAAAUUUUCAUCUUAUUGAAAUAAUUGUGCAUUUUUGAGGUAUUGACGAAAGAUAAGCAAGAGUCUUGUGGCUUUAUGAAAGCUGAAAAAAUAUAUUACGCCGUAAGAGUUUGUGAACCAAUCUCUGUUUCGUCAGAUAGAAUUGUA
rnacentral:lncRNA from 11 species